rnacentral:rRNA from 1 species
AUUGAACGCUGGCGGCAGGACUAACACAUGCAAGUCGAGCGGAGCGGCGGACGGGUGAGUAAUGCCUAGGAAUCUGCCUGGUAGUGGUGGAUAACGUCCGGAAACGGGCGCUAAUACCGCAUCCUAUCCGAUGAGCCUAGGACGGAUUAGCUAGAUGGUGGGGUAAAGGCCUACCAAGGCGAAGAUCCGUAACUGGUCUGAGAGGAUGAGCAGUCACACUGGAAAUGAGACACGGUCCAGACUCCUACGGGAGGCAGCAGUGGGGAAUAUUGGACAAUGGGCGAAAGCCUGAUCCAGCCAUGCCGCGUGUGUGAAGAAGGUCUUCGGAUUGGAAAGCACUUUAAGUUGGGAUGCGUGACCAACAGAAUAAGCACCGGCUAACUUCGUGCCAGCAGGCGCGGUAAUUC